AAGAACAUGUUCCUAUUUGGCUUCGUGGACAUAAAUGAAGCCUCUGCAACAGAUAGAGUUAAUGAGAUAAAUAAACUACAGAAUGCCCAGAUGCGAAUAGCAUAUGAGAAGUUGUUUGCAAAUACUCGGAUUGAUCAUUUCCUUCACAUGGACUUGGGGAUGGAACUUGACCUGAAAGUGCUCAACAAAAUGUCAACAGAAUAUGCAGGGG